rnacentral:lncRNA from 1 species
GGAAACUGAUGCAAGAAACUUUUGUCUUCUUAAGGAGAGAAAAAUUAUUAUCAUACUGGGAAUUGAAGUCAGAACCUUGCACUUGCCAGGCAUGGCACCACUGAGCUACAAACCUGGCUCCUUGUUUCAUUUUUAAAACCUUAUUUUUAUUGUGAAACAUACAUGCUGAAGAGAACUACAGUUUUAAAAUUAAUCAUAAGAGUAACACUAUUCACCUAUCCUUCCUCAUCUAAGAAUUAAAUCACUGAUAGCUUUGAGGACCUCUGUGUAUCUGUUUGAAUUACUCUCAUAGACUGAAC